CCUACGGGAGGCAGCAGUGGGGAAUAUUGCACAAUGGGGGAAACCCUGAUGCAGCGACGCCGCGUGAGUGAAGAAGUAUUUCGGUAUGUAAAGCUCUAUCAGCAGGGAAGAAGCAAGACGGUACCUGACUAAGAAGCCCCGGCUAACUACGUGCCAGCAGCCGCGGUAAUACGUAGGGGGCAAGCGUUAUCCGGAUUUACUGGGCGUAAAGGGAGUGUAGGCGGGAAAGUAAGAUAGGGGUGAAAUGCCGGGGCUCAACUCCGGAACUGCCUUUGAAACUAGUUUUCUAGAGUGACAGAGAGGUAAGUGGAAUACCCAGUGUAGAGGUGAAAUGCGUAGAUAUUGGGUAGAACACCGGAGGCGAAGGCGGGUAACUGGCUGUCAACUGACGCUGAGGCACGAAAGCAUGGGGAUCAAACAGGAUUAGAUACCCGGGUAGUC
rnacentral:rRNA from 1 species